rnacentral:rRNA from 1 species
CCCUACGGGGGGCAGCAGUGGGGAAUAUUGCACAAUGGGGGAAACCCUAAUGCAGCAACGCCGCGUGGGUGAAGGAGCGUUUCGGCGCGUAAAGCCCUGUCAGCGGGGAAGAAGAGAGACGGUACCCGACCAAGAAGCCCCGGCUAACUACGUGCCAGCAGCCGCGGUAAUACGGAGGGUGCGAGCGUUAAUCGGAAUUACUGGGCGUAAAGCGCUCGUAGGCGGUAUGUCAAGUCAAGGG